rnacentral:ncRNA from 1 species
UAAUCUGAUGAUUAAAAGGGAAUCAGGUGUAAGUCCUGAACAGUCCCGCUGCUGUAAAUUCCGUGUAUAUUGCAGGCAAUCGCUCAAGCCACUGGAAUGAUUUUCCGGAAAGGUAGUCUGCAAUAGGAAUGAGUCAGAAGACCUGCCAUGCAUAGU